rnacentral:rRNA from 1 species
CUACUGACGCUCAUGCACGAAAGCGUGGGUAUCGAACAGGAUUAGAUACCCUGGUAGUCCACGCGGUAAACGAUGAUAACUAGUUAUCCGGCCAGAUUGAUGGUUGGGUGACCGAGCGAAAGCGUUAAGUUAUCCACCUGGGGAGUACGCCGGCAACGGUGAAACUCAAAGGAAUUGACGGGGGCCCGCACAAGCGGAGGAACAUGUGGUUUAAUUCGAUGAUACGCGAGGAACCUUACCCGGGCUCAAACGCAAGGCGCUACACCCUGAAAGGGGUGGUUCUUCGGACGUCUUGCGAGGUGCUGCAUGGUUGUCGUCAGCUCGUGCCGUGAGGUGUCGGCUUAAGUGCCAUAACGAGCGCAACCCCCAUCUUCAGUUGCCAUCGGGUCGAGCCGGGCACUCUGGAGAGACUGCCGGCGCAAGCUGUGAGGAAGGCGGGGAUGACGUCAAAUCAGCACGGCCCUUACGUCCGGGGCGACACACGUGUUACAAUGGCGGGGUGACAGCGGGAAGCCAGGCGGCGACGCCGAGCCGAUCCCGAAAACCCGUCUCAGUUCGGAUCGGAGUCUGCAACCCGACUCCGUGAAGCUGGAUUCGCUA